CCUUUUGUUACCGACCUCCUUUUUUUUAUCUGUGUUUUUAUCAGUCGCUUCCUACCUCUCACUCUCUCUCCAAUAUGCAACUUGGUACUGGCUACUGUUCGAGUGGUUACUCGCCGCCUUAAAUCUUUCUUCACGACCAGUGUUCCUUUUCCUUUGCCCCUCACUGUGUUUCUCCUCCACUCAGAAAUUAACACCGCCUUCAUCUAACGCUUUCCACCUCCUUCGUCUCCACGUCUUUGCCGUCCAGAGAGGAUCACCGGUAAACCACCACCGAUUUUGGGUCAUUGUUUUCGUUUUCCUCUGUCUUCUCCGUUCGAACAAAUACAUAACAAAAACAGUAGGAAAUCGAAGGUGAUGUUUCGCUUUGAUUUUGAAGGUAUGUACGCAAGUAAGCCCCAAUGUUUCCUCUAGAACUGAUAACUAAUGUUUACACAGAUGGUUACAGAUGUCUGCCAUCUCUUCCUUCCUUACUUUUCCCCUUUUGGUUGAAGCGGUGGUAGCGACGUGUUAUUUUCACAUUCAUUUGAAUUUGGAUCUUGCAUCACACGUGUACGUUAUUACGUUGCUUCACCUCCAAUGUUUCCAGAUUUCUCAAUCGUAUCUCUCUCUCUCUCUCUCUCUCUCUCUCUCUCUCUCUCUCUCUCUCCCGAACAUGAAGUUUCUGAUACUACAUCCGGUGGUCUCUCUGUGCUCUACCUAUCACCCCCCCGACGUCGGCUUCAGGGCUCAGCUUUUAGUUCGUCGACGCCACUCUCUAUUGACUCUCUAAAAUAACCCUAAUCGCUUCUCUUUGAUGCAGUUGGUCCGGGGAAUAUGAUCACUUGCCUCCAUAAUAACCCAAGAACAAGAUUCAGUUAUACCCCAACCAAUUGAUAUUCAGAUUUGAAAGAGAGUCUCACUAUGCUUUCCAACUGCUCGAUGAAAUGCUUGAACCAGGAUGCGUCUGUCCUUGAAAGACAAUAUCAGCAACCCAAACAAAAAUUGUGAAGGAGACUUUGAAUGGACAACAGAUUGAGAAGAGGAUCAGAGUUUAUGUGAAGAAGAAGGUUUUCCAUUGGAGGAAGAUGAAGAGACUAGAACAAGAAGUGGUGGAGCAGGCUGUGCUGAAUGUUCAAAACGAUACAUGUUAUGUGAAUCUAAUCAGUUUAUUGAAGCUUACUCAUGGGUAUGAUUCUUUUAGUGUUGGGUAAUUGGAAUUUGGAAGUCAUUACAUUUAUAUUUUCUGGGAAAUCAAGUAUGGUGAUUUUCCCAGCUGGAGCUGGAAAGUCACCGUGUUAUUAUUUCCCUGCUAUUGUUCUACAGGGAAUGAUAAUUAUCAGUGGUCUAUUGGUGUCACUUAUGUUCAAUCAAAUCAAACAACUGAAACCAGUGGUUCAAGGUGGUUUAUUACGUAGCAGUCAUAUAUUAUCAAUCGAUGUAAUAUGCCUCUUUUAUAAAUACAAUGUACUUUCAUAUAUUUUCUCAACUCUAAAUGCAAGAAUAAAUAAAGAAAUUUCUGUUAUUUUCUUA